CCACUCACUGACGACGACAUGGUGUCGUACAUCCUUGCCGGGCUUGACUUCGAAUACAUGUCGUUUGUCUCCUCGGUCUGCGCAAGGAUGGUCCCCAUCAAGCUAAACGAGCUCUACUCCCAGCUGAUCAGCUUCGAGA
rnacentral:snoRNA from 1 species